UCUGAGUCCUCACACACACAUGCAGGCAAAACCCCAAUGCUGGUAAAAAAAAAAAUAAAUCUUAAGAAAUAAAAGAGUUUGGUCUUUUAAUGGUGGGCAGGGAAAGUGAACCAUGAUGUCAGACCGUCUCAGUCAGCCUCAGAAACUACCCUUUGUGAGAACUGUCCUGUGGGAAACAGAGGAACAGACUGGGGCGGAUCCUGAGGAAGGUGUGACUGCCCUGUGCCUGUUGUUAAGAGGAAAAACUAUCUCCUGGAUCUGUCAUGAAGGCCCGUGGGCUUUGGUUUACUUCCGUUAUCUUCUUUUAUCCAGCCAGAGUCCCCAUCUUGCUUUUGUUUUGUUGUAGUUGUUGUUUUUAUACUGCUGGAACAACAUGUCCUGUCAGAACCAACUCAAGGGAGGAAGGGUGGUGACUGCUGCGGCUGCCGAGCUUCCUUUCUUCAGGUCCAGAGUCUGGGAUCCCAACCGGGGAUGGUGCCGCCCAUAGUGGGCAGGUGGUUAAUUAACAUAAUCAAGACAAUUCCAUUUCAGCCUGCCCAAAGGCCUAUCUCCCAGAUGAUUGCCCGUUCUGUCAAACUGACAACAACUGUCACUGUGCCUUUUGUUUGGGCUUCCUUUCGAAACCCUUGGAGUUCCCAGGACUUCAUAUUCUGCUCAAGAGAAGCACCACAGGAUACAGGCCUAUGUCAAUUAACACACCAUCUUCCCUGUGCCUCAUGAUUGGCUUGAAGGAGCAAAUAAUGGAAACCAACUGAGUGGAAGUCGCUGCAAUGAGGCUCAGCCCCACCACCAUAUUCUCAACCCUUGUUAUUCUUGACUAGGAAACUUUGAUUUGUCUGUACUGAUGGUGAAACAAGGGCCUGGUGUUUGCACCUACUCCUCCACCGAAUGAGGCCCCCAGUAACUGAACUUGAAACUUGCUGGCAGGAGCAGCUUUUGCAGUCUUGCUUCCACGUGGAGCCUGAGAAUGCAGCAGCAGGUGAAAGGGAGCAGCCAUCUGCACAGGAGCCCUGAUAUGCAGUCAGUGUGCGCUUGCAUGCUCCAGAUCCAAGCUUGACGGAAGCAGCAGAACCGUUGCAAGUGUGAGGCCAGCGUGGGCUACACAGAAAGACUGUUCCUAAGAGAGCUGGGGCUACUACUCAGUUGGCUGAGUGCUUGCUUAACAUCCAUGAAGCUGGGUUCUACUCCUAGUGCUACAUAAAUACAGUAAUGUAUGCCUGCAAUCCCAGGACUCAGGAAGUGGAGGCAGUAGGAUCAUCUUAACCUCCAUAGCAACUUUCAGUCUCACCUGUCUCAAAACAAAACAAAACAAAAAUCAGUACAACCUUUACUUACUUUCUGGUCUAGUAAUCCCAGCAUUCCUGCCACCUCUGGUCUGGCCCCCUUCAAAUUGUGUGUUUUGUUUGCUUUGCUUUCUGACAUGGUCUCCCUGUGUAGCCCAGGCUGACCUUGAACUCGCAGCAAUAGCGCUUCUGCCUCCCAAAGAGCUAACAUUACAGGUGGCCACCACCACACCCAGCUUCCAAAUAAUGACUUUGUCUGUUAGUGUGUUAUCUUCUCGGUAGGGACGGGAUGUACCAGGUUAAAGGAACUGCUAUAAAUAGGGCCUUUCCUGUGUGGUGGCGCGGUAGGGAGGGGAUGCCUUCUGCAGCCCUGUGUCAGCAUCUAGUGAGCCUGUGCUCUAGCUGCGAACUCCAUGCCUGGCCCUUGGGAGGACAGGAUGAGUAGAGAGGUCUGGAGCUCAGAGGGCAGAGCAGAGCCCCCCCCCCCUCUGGACCCACAGAGCCUGUUCGAGCUCCCCAGGAGACCUCAGAGAGGAGUCAACAUUUGCCCGAAGAUCCUGAAGAUAUUCAAGGUCUUUGGGGGAGGUUCAAAGGCAUAGCUGGGAAAAGGGUGUUUGAGGGCUAGCUAAGUCUAGAACAGUGAAGCUGGGAGCAGACUCCAGGCUGAGGGAGACGUGAGGUAGAAAAUGGCCGGGUGAUCUUGGGGCUGUGUUUUCACAGUGGUGUUUGUGAUGAGAAGUGAUUUUAACAACUGGGUGAGUCUUGAAGAUGAUGUCACAAAGCAGGGGUUAGAGGUGCAGAUAUUAUUGGUCAGCAGACCAGUCUGGUCACCUUCUUCCCUGGGCGCAGUCCUGAGUGCCAGUCUUCAUGUGCUACAUAGCAGUUUGAGGCCAGCCUGGGCUAUGUGAGAUCAUGUUUCUAAACAGGGUGGGAGGAGAGGAAAGGAAAAGAUAAUUGAGGCAGAGAACACAUGUGUGGUGCCCAGGAAACCCUGCAUCCAAUCCCUGGUAGCCACCCCACGCUGAGAACUACAGAAUUCCCGUGUGCUCGGGUGUAUGAUCAGUGUUUACCUCAGUGUUCAUUAAAAUUUUUAACUAAAAUAACCCAUUAUGAACUGUAUUAGUUACUCUUCUGUGGCUGUGAUAAACACUAUGACCAAAGCUGCUUGGUAGGGAAGGGUUUAUUCAUCUUAUACUUCCAGAUGACAGAUUACCAAUGAGAGGCAUCAGGACAGGAACCUGGAGGCAGGAACUGAAGCAGAGGCCAUGGAGGGUGCUGCGUACUGGUUCGCUCCCCUGCCUGGCUUCCUCUGCUUUGUUUUAUACAACUCAACACCACCUGUCCAGGAUAUCACCACCCACCAUGGGCUGGGCCCUCCCACAUCAAUUAUUAAUCAAGAAAAUGCCCUACAGGCGUGCCUACUGAACAAAUUUUUGUUAGCUUUUAGUUUUUAGACAGGGUUUCUCUGGAGCCCUGGCUGUCCUGAAACUCACUUUGAAGACCAAGCUGGCCUCAAACUCAGAAAUCUGCCUGCUUCUGCCUCCUGAGUGCUGGGGGAUUUUAAUAAAGUCUUUUUUCAGUUGAGGUUCCCUCAUAUCUAAUGACUAGCUUGUGUCAGAUGACAGAAAAUCUAGCCAGCACAAGUGCGGACAAUGCUCACGCGGUCUCUACCACUAGGCUUAAGAAGGAGACGUCUGGGCCUGUGAUGGAUGAUGGCUCAGCAGGCACAGGCACUUGGCGCCAGGUCUGAUGGCCUGAAUCUGACCUCCUGACCCACCAGCUGCUCGGAGAGAAUAGACCCACACACGCACACGGCAUACCCACUAAAUAAAUAAAGGUAACUUUCAAAACGAGCCAUUCUCUCUCCUCACUAUCCAUGCCCAAAGCCUUGCCUCACCCCCCAGAACCACUGACUCUCCAGGAUUUGCUACUCGCGUCUUCCUCUGUGGCUUUUCUAAAUUUGGAUAAAUCCCUGGAGACGCAGAGUUUCCAGUGUCUCAGCCGGCACAACCGUACUAUUGGUGCGCGCUGUGCUGCAGCCUGCGUCGGGCUUGUUGUUGUCUACCCUCGGAGUGUCUCUUGAUCACCCUUUCCUGCAAACCAGGUGCAGGUCUCCCUGCAGGAGGCCCUUGUCCCCAAGCACAGCACCACCUGCGUCUCAGCCGUCACACAACAUUGCAGUCAAACGGGAAUCAAGCAGGGCAGGAGUCAGGAUUCGUUCAGAAGCCGGAGUACACCUGACUAUGUAUUGGGGUAGCCUCCGCCAACAGGGACAGCCCUGGCCAGUAGAUCUGCCCAGUUGUUAAGUUGGGAACAAAGGUCCCAGUCCCUUGCAUCUAUCCCAGACCCCAGGCCUGGUCUGGACUUCAAAUCCCAGCAGGCCAGGUUCUGACCCCUCCCUGGGUACUUAAGUGAUCCCCCAAAAGAAGAACAUGUGGUCUCCCUUUCUUCCUCCUGGGGGUUGCCUUUCUGCGGCUUCCCUGUUUCCCCCUCUAGGCCACCCGAGAGCGCAGAUCUCCCAUUAAACCUGGAUAUUUCUUAAUUUGGCUUGUUUUGAUUUGGCUUGAUUGGGAAUUUUUGUGUCAUCAGGGAGCUAAUAUUAAAAAAUAUUCCUAACAGUUGUCAGGGGCAGAUCUUGGAGUCCUGAAUUAGAAUCCCCACCUGCCUCCGUUCAGCUGGGAGCAGAAAGAGGACACCAGACACAGGCAGCAGACAUCUCAAGGUGUGGCUUGUGCAGCUCUGACGUUUUCUCAUUUAUUUCAGCCUCUCUGCCUGAUGUUGAGUUUCACUCAUGAGUGAAUUUUGUCGAUUUUAUUAUCUUUCCUAGAGCUGCCUCCUUUAGGAUCGCCCCACCCAAGGGCUCAUCUAAGUGUAAACCAGCUAGGCAGGCACAGCUAAUCAGGCCUGGCAUACGUGAGGCAGGGUUGAUAUCCGGCAGUGCAAAGCCAACCAGCCAAACAACAGAGAGCAGCGAGGAGUCCGGCCUGACCUGUACAUUCAAGGGCCCCGUUCUUUUCCGCCUAGGCUGAAGCUGGUGACAGUCGGCCUCCCGGGUUCUCCUUCCAUAACGAGGACUGAAUUUUCGCUGCCCCUCUCAGUUCCCUUGAGCCUUGGUUUGGCGUGAUGCUUGGCAUGUACAGAGAGAAAACAGAAAACAGAGGGGAGAGACAGAUAGAGAGAGAGAAUCUGAGAAGGGGGCCAGCCACUGACCACCACUUUCUACAUGAUUUUUAAAACUGAAUUCUUUCACCGUUGAAGUGUUUCUUCUCUUUUUCUUCAGGAGUAGACAAGCCCUCGAGUAACAAUCCCAGGCACCCAGAAAGGUGGCCCAGCCCCACAGCGUUUCUAAGCUUCAUUCCUGUUUGCAAAAUUUCUUAGGCCAGUGUGUUGUGAAAGCAGAUAUGAAUCUGCAUUUUUACGUGCCAGGCCUCGGAGGCUAGAGAGACGGCUCCGUGGGUAAGAAUGCGUGCUGCAUAAACGUGAAGACCCGAGCCCAGAUCCCAGCGCCCACACAGGCAACUUCACGUGGCCGCUGUACCUCUAAACCCGCACUGCAGAGGGUGGAGACGGAAAGCUCACUCGGGCUGCUGGUUGCCAGUCUAGCUCCAAAGUGCAGUAAGAAACUGUCUCAGGGGAGUAAGGUGGAGGGUGAUAGAGGAACCUGGUGGCCUUCGCUGAUCUCCAUUCAAGCAUGAACACGUACACUUGUACACACGUGCACACACGUAUGCAUCUACGCACCAUCAAGGGGGAAAAAGAAAGUACGAAGCCAAAUGUGUCUAUUUAAUGGAGUAAGUUCCGAAGCGAGAGCGAAGGACACGAGGCUUUCCAUGGCCCCAACCCCCAACCUAAUUCUAUGUUUCAGUUUCUCCAUUUACAUGGUGAAAUUCACCGUCCACGGAGGAGCAGACAAACAGCACAACACCAUGCAGGGGCAUGGCUCAGCACAAAGGAAUGAAGUGCCCGCACUUCCGGAGACGUGGGCGGACCCACAAGACACCGCGCCACGUGAGAUGCCAGCCACAAAGCCCACACGCCCCAUAAUCCAGCUUGUCUAAUGGACAGGACAGCUGAUUACACACUGCCGGCAACAGAAGGGUAAUUAAUUAAUGAAAAUGUUCUUAAAUUGUCGUGACGGCAUUUGUAUUCAAAACGGAAAAACACUAAAAAUAAUAACGGCAGGUACAGGUUACGUAAUUAAAUUACAUGGUGUAUGGAA